GCCUACAGCUAUACUACCCUGAAUGCACCCAAUCUUGUCUGAUCUCCGAAACUAAGCAGGGUCAGGCCUGAAUUGUACUUGGAUGGGAGAAAGAGCUGUGGUUGUCC
rnacentral:rRNA from 1 species